GGAGGCGUGUCCGAGUGGCCUAAGGAAACCGCCUUGAAAGCGGUCGGGUGUAACAGCCUCGCAGGUUCGAAUCCUGUCGCCUCCGCCA
rnacentral:tRNA from 1 species